rnacentral:tRNA from 1 species
GCCUGGGUGGCUCAGUUGGUUAAGUGUCUGACUUCAGCUCAGGUCAUGAUCUUGUGGUUCAUGAGUUCGAGCCCCACCUUGGGCU